GACAGAGGGUGCAAACGUUGUUCGGAAUUACUGGGCGUAAAGCGCGUGUAGGCGGCCCUGCAAGUCGGGUGUGAAAUCCCACGGCUCAACCGUGGAAGUGCACUCGAAACUGCAGGGCUAGAGUCCUGGAGAGGAAGGUGGAAUGCUUGGUGUAGAGGUGAAAUUCGUAGAUAUCAAGCGGAACACCGGUGGCGAAGGCGGCCUUCUGGACAGUGACUGACGCUGAGACGCGAAAGCGUGGGGGGCGAACAGG
rnacentral:rRNA from 1 species